GAGAAAAACUUUUUUUAAAUUAAAAAUUGAAAUUUUUUUAAUUUGUGCAGAAACAAUUAUUAAUAUUAAGGACAAGAAGACCCUAUGAAUUUAUUAAAUUUCAUUCAAUAUGUAAUUACUAUUGAAGAAAUUUUGGCUGGGGCGGCUAAAAAAUAUUUUAAACUUUUUAAAAAUAAAAUGAUCCAUUAUUAAUGAUUAUAUGUUAAAUACUCUAGGGAUAACAGCGUUAUAUUUUUUGAUAGACCAUAUUGACAAAAAAGUUUGCGACCUCGAUGUUGGAUUAGGAUACUUUUUUAAUGCAGAUAUUAAAAAAAGAAGUUUGUUCAACUUUCAAUUUCCUACAUGAUCUGA
rnacentral:rRNA from 1 species